UGGGGAAUAUUGGACAAUGGGGGAAGCCCUGAUCCAGCCAUGCCGCGUGUGUGAAGAAGGCCUUAUGGUUGUAAAGCACUUUAAGCGAGGAGGAGGCUCUUUUGGUUAAUACCCAAGAUGAGUGGACGUUACUCGCAGAAUAAGCACCGGCUAACUCUGUGCCAGCAGCCGCGGUAAUACAGAGGGUGCGAGCGUUAAUCGGAUUUACUGGGCGUAAAGCGUGCGUAGGCGGCUUUUUAAGUCGGAUGUGAAAUCCCCGAGCUUAACUUGGGAAUUGCAUUCGAUACUGGGAAGCUAGAGUAUGGGAGAGGAUGGUAGAAUUCCAGGUGUAGCGGUGAAAUGCGUAGAGAUCUGGAGGAAUACCGAUGGCGAAGGCAGCCAUCUGGCCUAAUACUGACGCUGAGGUACGAAAGCAUGGGAGCAACA
rnacentral:rRNA from 1 species